GUGCUUGCUUUAGCAUUGUACACAUACUUAAAUUGGGACGCUACAGAGAUGAUUAGCAGGGCUCCUGCACAAGGACACUUAAAAGUCUGUGCAGUGGUUUAUCUUUUU
ensembl:snRNA Gm26049 U6 spliceosomal RNA